AUUGAACGCUGGCGGCAGGCCUAACACAUGCAAGUCGGACGGUUGCACAGAGGAGCUUGCUCCUCGGGUGACGAGUGGCGGACGGGUGAGUAAUGUCUGGGGAUCUGCCCGAUAGAGGGGGAUAACCACUGGAAACGGUGGCUAAUACCGCAUAACGUCGCAAGACCAAAGAGGGGGACCUUCGGGCCUCUCACUAUCGGAUGAACCCAGAUGGGAUUAGCUAGUAGGCGGGGUAACGGCCCACCUAGGCGACGAUCCCUAGCUGGUCUGAGAGGAUGACCAGCCACACUGGAACUGAGACACGGUCCAGACUCCUACGGGAGGCAGCAGUGGGGAAUAUUGCACAAUGGGCGCAAGCCUGAUGCAGCCAUGCCGCGUGUAUGAAGAAGGCCUUCGGGUUGUAAAGUACUUUCAGCGGGGAGGAAGGCGAUGUGGUUAAUAACCGCAUUGAUUGACGUUACCCGCAGAAGAAGCACCGGCUAACUCCGUGCCAGCAGCCGCAGUAA
rnacentral:rRNA from 1 species